rnacentral:lncRNA from 1 species
GUGUGUACCACUUGCCACCCUUUGCAUGAGAGGCCUUUCAAUGCAGCAACAGAGCGCGUUUUGCACUUAACUCGAGGCUCGAGGGGAGCGGUUGCCGUUGUUGGUGCUGUCGUUGUUUGUUCUGCUUCUGCUGUUGGCAACAAUACCAGUGUCCACAUAUGUACAUACAUAUAUUUAUUAUUUAUUACACUGACCCAGUUUCCAUCUGUUCCAUGCCUCCCUGACCCGAAUCCGGGGGUCGGUCCAGUCAGGGUUUGAGACCCCUCAUAGCAGACCUUGAACAGAGACUCACCAGACUGACAGACUUAUCUUUCUCUAACUUCACAGUUCAGCCAGAAAUACAAUAUACAAAGAACAGAGAACAUACUCCAAAAAUGGAACGAGAGCCACUGAAAGACAUCACCAACGUGCAGACGGAAAAGAAAAGGACCCAACAGAACACCCAAAAUGGGCAACCAGCCCGCAAACGCUUCGAGAUCUUUAGAGGAUCUAACUGAGGUGCGGACCAGAGAGUGAGUUCCAAACAGAAAGUGGCUUCACUAUGAUGACUCAAACUUCCCAAAUUUCUUCAACAGUUUGGCCUAUGCGAUAGCGGAGGCGGGUGGAUAGCGAAGGGUAACUUGGAGUCCUCGGUCAACUCCUGUGACCCGCUUUGUUAUUUGUUGAGACCAUGGCUCGUUCUAUUAAUAACUUAAAAUGUUUAUAAAUAUUUUGGAAAUCUACAGACCUCCCACACAACAAAGAAACACAAAAGACACUACCGUAAAACAGGAAGAAAAGACUUGGUUUGCGAUUCUCAAAUUUUGUUGAACCUUCGGCAAGUUUAAGGCUCUGUUGCGCCAAUAAGAGACGUUGGACUUAUAAAAGAAAAGGACAAAACUGAUAAGAAAAUCUACUUAUUUGGGGUCGCUUCAUACCGAAUGCUGG